rnacentral:pre_miRNA from 1 species
AUGUACAGCAAUCUGUCUUUAAGUAGGGGUAAAUUAUUAUUGAAAAAAAUGAUUGUAAAUAGUUUUCCCUUCAAAUGAAGCAUCUUGU